rnacentral:rRNA from 1 species
GACAGAGGUCCCGAGCGUUAGGCGGAAUCACUGGGCUUAAAGCGUGUGUAGGCGGAUGCCUAAGUACCUUGUGAAAUCCCACGGCUCACCCGUGGAACAGCUCCGCAUACUGCAGGACUCGAGGACGGUAGGGGAGAGCGGAACUCCUGGUGGAGCGGUGAAAUGCGUAGAUAUCAGGAGGAACACCGGCGGCGAAGGCGGCUCUCUGGUCCGUUACUGACGCUGAGGUGCGAAAGCCAGGGGAGCAAACGGG